rnacentral:rRNA from 1 species
UACGUAGGGUGCAAGCGUUAAUCGGAAUUACUGGGCGUAAAGCGUGCGCAGGCGGUUUUGUAAGUCUGACGUGAAAUCCCCGGGCUCAACCUGGGAAUUGCGUUGGAGACUGCAAGGCUGGAGUCUGGCAGAGGGGGGUAGAAUUCCACGUGUAGCAGUGAAAUGCGUGGAGAUGUGGAGGAACACCGAUGGCGAAGGCAGCCCCCUGGGUCAAGACUGACGCUCAUGCACGAAAGCGUGGGGAGCAAACAGG